AGUGAACGCUGGCGGUAGGCCUAACACAUGCAAGUCGAACGGCAGCACAGUAAGAGCUUGCUCUUACGGGUGGCGAGUGGCGGACGGGUGAGGAAUACAUCGGAAUCUACUUUUUCGUGGGGGAUAACGUAGGGACACUUACGCUAAUACCGCAUACGACCUACGGGUGAAAGCAGGGGAUCUUCGGACCUUGCGCGAUUGAAUGAGCCGAUGUCGGAUUAGCUAGUUGGCGGGGUAAAGGCCCACCAAGGCGACGAUCCGUAGCUGGUCUGAGAGGAUGAUCAGCCACACUGGAACUGAGACACGGUCCAGACUCCUACGGGAGGCAGCAGUGGGGAAUAUUGGACAAUGGGCGCAAGCCUGAUCCAGCAAUACCGCGUGGGUGAAGAAGGCCUUCGGGUUGUAAAGCCCUUUUGUUGGGAAAGAAAAGCAGCAGGUUAAUACCCCGCUGUUCUGACGGUACCCAAAGAAUAAGCACCGGCUAACUUCGUG
rnacentral:rRNA from 1 species